rnacentral:tRNA from 1 species
GCCUAGCUGGCUUAGUUGGUGGAGCAUGUGACUCUUGAUCUCAGGGUUGUAAGUUUGCGCCUCAUGUUGGGUG